UACAGAGGUCUCAAGCGUUGUUCGGAUUUACUGGGCGUAAAGGGCGCGUAGGCGGCCAGCACAAGUCAGUUGUGAAAUCUCCGAGCUUAACUCGGAAAGGUCAACUGAUACUGUGCGGCUAGAGUGCGGAAAGGGCAACUGGAAUUCUUGGUGUAGCGGUGAAAUGCGUAGAUAUCAAGAGGAACACCUGCGGCGAAGGCGGGUUGCUGGGCCGACACUGACGCUGAGGCGCGAAAGCCAGGGGAGCGAACGGG
rnacentral:rRNA from 1 species